GCGAGGGGAAGUCGAGCACUGACAAGAGCGAUGAGCUUCCUUCCUUGUGCAGCGCAGCGCCGGGCGCGGCCUGCCUGGGCCUUGAGCCCCCCAUUGGCACCGCAGCGCAGGCGAGUGCCAGGCAGGUGCCAGGACCAGCCAGGAUUCUAGCUAGGACUCACUGCAGAACUGGCCAACAGACGGAUGCUGGGAGUGGUGCCAUCCCUUCCUGUUCAUCUCAGUGGGAUGUUAACUCUGAAACCUAGUGACCACCUGUAUGACAGCCAUCAGCUGUGUCUCUGCUGGUCAGGCUGCACACGCAGAAAGUGAGCGAGAGCCCCGUGGCAUGCUUAGCCCUUCGCCACUGGCAGCCUGGCAGAGACUGGGCCACUCGCGCUGGGCAGAGGGGCUCUUCCGGGGGAGGCCAGCAAGGGGCACCAUCUGCAUCUCGUCGGGUGUCACGUCAAUGGCGCUGGGGCGAGUUGCUGCACAGACACACAGUGAGACACUUGCUGGCAGCCGAAUGGGUAGGGAAAACUGAGGCACGUAGCAAGGCGGUGACUUAGCCAAGUCACCCAGCAGUGCUGUGGCAGGAGCUCUGCCAGCUGAAUCGCCUUCAUCCCAGCCCAGUGAUCUGGCCACUAAGCCGUGCUGCCCCCGCCUGGGGUGCAGGGCUGGCGUCCACCCAUGGCCCACCAGACUCGCCCAGUUCCUGCAGCGGGUUGGUCAUGCAGCACUUUGGCACAGGGGUCCCUACAUUUCUCUCUGCAUGAGGGUGCCUAUUGUGGCCCCUCCCCUCUGGCUCCACCCAUUCCCCCCAGCUCUGGGGCCGUGGGGGAUGUUUUGCACUGGGGGGGCAGGGGGACAGGAACAUGCCCUGCCGGGGCUGGUCCCAUGGGUUUGCUCCCCUUCCCCCAGAGGGGUGGACGGCCGUGGGGAGAAAGCUUCUGCGUGGCCAGUUAGCCCGUUUCCUGCCCUACUGGCCCAGGCCCAUCCAGUGGGAUCCCGCCUCCUGCCAUCCACUGCAGAGAGAGGGGCCCUGCCCUCUGCCCACAGUCCUGCCUGGCCCCACAGCGCAGAGGCUCUGGCCAGCCCGACCUUUCCUCAGGCCCGGCCCCAUAGGGUCAGUGAGGCUUGUCUGAGGCCACCCCCCAGAUCCUCUGAGCCAGUCAGGCCGGUUUCUGCCCGGGGCUGGGCCUUGGCCGGCCCGUUCCCCUGCUGCCACCGAUCCCAUCGGCUUGGCUGCUGUGCUGGGACCUCUGCCAGACCCCUGUCUUCUCACUGCCCCCCAGCAGACAUGGAGACGCCAGGCCCCAGCUCCUCUAGCUCCCUGGGCACUGGGGCAGGCCUGUUCCCCAGGGAGCGGCUCUGCAGAGGUGGGGUGACCCAUGCCAGGGCUGCCCCCAGGGACCUGCCCAGCCCAGCUACCACCAUCCCAAGCCCGAGGCUGCCAGACCUGCCCCAGCCCAACAGCCCCCCCCUCCCCCUGAGCCGAGUUGCCGGCCUCAGUGACCCCCCCGCGGCAUGGGGAUGGGGCGCAGCGUCCGAUCCAUGUGCCGAUGGGUGGGAGUGACGCUGCGUCCCCUUGGCCAGGACGGCCCAUCUGGACGGCCCCAGAUGCGCUGUGGGAGGGAUCCACGUUGCUGGCAUAGCUGAUCACAUGCACAGUACAGAAGGAAUGCCACUCGCAAUCUGGCUCCGCCCGGAUGAGCGGGGGAGGGAAAGCCCUGCUGUAACUGUGCUGGGCGUGGGGCACUGGGACAGAACAUGGCCGCUCAGUCCCACGGGGCACUGGGACAGCUGCCUUCGAAGCACUGUGCUGAGGAGCAGGCUGCAGCGAGUGUGCCUCAGUUUCCCCAGCUGUAAAGUGGGGCUACUGACCUCGGUGGAGUGCCAGAUGAUACGGAUGUUAAACCUUAUGAUAAUGCUACUUUUAAAUUCAUACCUGUAAACAGGUUUAAAGUUUAUCACAGCAGAGAAACCAUAAAAAACCUGGUUUGCUGUGUGUGAAUGGGGAAACUGAGGCACACUGCCUCAUGGCCUUAAUGGCUGGGUGCCAAGAGAACUAUAACAACAAACUGCCUUCAAGAUAGUCGGUGACUAGCCCGCUUGCAGUAAACUAAGAGGGGAGGUGUGAUGCUCUGUACCUCGGGGGAACACCCUGCACUUCCAUGUUCAUCUUUGUAAAAUGAUUGUAUGGUAUCCAAUGCAUAGUUUGUCAUGUCGGGUGUCUUCGGAAGGCUCAUGAUGCACUGAGCAGUGUUGUUACAGUGGUGUUACAGGUUGUAAUUUCAUGUAUAUAGUU